GAACCUUCUCAUGAGUGAUGCUUCCUCUCAGACACCUUUGCUAAGCUAUUACUUUCUUUGCUUUUCUGGCUUUGUUUGUAUCUUCUAAUUCUUCAUAGUUAGUUGCCUACAUUUUCAUGCUGUUUUGUCUAUUUGAAAUAUUUAUUACAUCUGACAAAGGAGUUCCUUAUUCUCUGUGAAUCUUUGAAAACAUAUUUUCUUCUCUCCAUUAAAAAUAACUUACAGUAUAGCAAUUGCAUUGUUUCCUUGGAACAUAUGUGAUAAAAAUAGCUGCACUGCACUUGAUCAUUUCUGUUCCCAUUUGGACGCUAUUCUAUUAUGUGGUGAAGAAUAUAGUAUUAAGGUAGGCACAGAUAUUUUCUAAAGUACCAUGAAAAGUUCUACCUCCUCUAUCUCCAAUGUGAUUUUUUUUUUUUUUUUAGAGAAUAAACUGUCAUUUUGAAUGACAUAUUUCCACAGUCAAAAAUAAUGGCUUUCAUAACCAUAAUUUCAUAGAUUUAAAAAAAUUAAGUUUGCCAAAAUUCCUUUGUGGCAUUUUUUUUGUUUUUCAUUUUUUUAAAAUUAGAGCUGUAAGAAAACCUUGGCUGUAGAGAAUUUGCAGCGCCCAGAAAACCAGGAGGGAGCAUAAGUUUUUAGUGUUUCAACACUUCAUUUUAAUGAUUUGUAUUAUCUCCUUGUUUUGCAGGGAGCUCGUGGGCUUGAUGGUGAGCCUGGUCCUCAAGGUCUUCCUGGUGUACCUGGGGAUCAAGGACAGAGAGGUCCACUGGGAGAGGCAGGUCCAAAGGGAGAAAGGGUGAGCACAGACAAAUUUCAACUCAUGUUCAGUUGCAAACAUGGGUUAUUUAUAGCAUAUAAACAUGCAACAUAAUUGGUACUCUCAAAGUAAUGGCAUCUGAAUUUGCAUCUGUCAUUUCAAUGUGUUUAUUUUAAUUUUUAAAAAGUAUUAUUAUUCUUAGGGCCCUCAAGGUACAAGAGGAAUAAAUGGUCUCCCUGGGCCUAAAGGAGAGUGUGU
rnacentral:lncRNA from 1 species